GUGCUUAACACAUGCAAGUCGAGUGCGCGUCUGUAGCAAUACAGAUGGCGCACGGCGCACGGGUGCGUAACACGUGGGUAAUCUGCCCUUCGAUGGGGAAUAUCUUCGGGAAACCGAAGCGAAUUCCGCAUAACAUUCCUUGAACUUCGGUUUGGGGAUUCAAAGCCGUAAGGCGUCGGAGGAGGAACCCGCGCACGAUUAGCUAGUUGGUAGGGUAACGGCCUACCAAGGCUUUGAUCGUUAGCUGGUCUGAGAGGAUGGCCAGCCACACUGGAACUGAGACACGGUCCAG
rnacentral:rRNA from 1 species